rnacentral:rRNA from 1 species
ACAGGUGGUGGCAUGGUUGUCGUCAGCUCGUGCCGUGAGAUGUUGGGUUAAGUCCCGCAACGAGCGCAACCCUCGACCUUAGUUGCCAGCAUUCAGUUGGGCACUCUAAGGUGACUGCCGGCUAAAAGUCGGAGGAAGGUGGGGAUGACGUCAAAUCAUCAUGCCCCUUAUGACCUGGGCUACACACGUGCUACAAUGGGCGGUACAAAGGGUCGCGAACCCGCGAGGGGGAGCCAAUCCCAAAAAGCCGCUCUCAGUUCGGAUUGCAGGCUGCAACUCGCCUGCAUGAAGCCGGAAUCGCUAGUAAUCGCGGAUCAGCAUGCCGCGGUGAAUACGGUUCCCGGCCUU